rnacentral:rRNA from 1 species
AUUGAACGCUGGCGGCAGGCCUAACACAUGCAAGUCGAACGAGUGGCGGACGGGUGAGUAAUGUCUGUGAAACUGCCCGAUGGAGGGGGAUAACUACUGGAAACGGUAGCUAAUCCCGCAUACCAUCGGAUGUGCCCAGAUGGGAUUAGCUAGUAGGUGGGGUAACGGCUCACCUAGGCGACGAUCCCUAGCUGGCAUGAGAGGAUGACCAGCCACACUGGAACUGAGACACGGUCCAGCAGCCUACGGGAGGCAGCAGUGGGGAAUAUUGCACAAUGGGCGAAAGCCAGAUGCAGCCAUGCCGCGUGUAUGAAGAAGGCCUUCGGGUUGUAAAGUACUUUCAGAGAGGAGGCGUUACUCGCAGAAGAAGCACCGGCUAACUCCGUGCCAGAAGCCGCGGUAAUAC